rnacentral:rRNA from 1 species
AACAUUGCCUCUUGAUGCCCUAUAAGAGGUACAUCCUGCCCAGUGACUUACGAGUUCAACGGCCGCGGUACCCUGACCGUGCUAAGGUAGCAUAUAAUAUGCCCUUUAAUUGAGGGCUAGAAUGAACGGAUAAACGAAAAUACAGCUGUCUCUAUAAUGAACCUAUAAAUUAGUAUUCAGGUGAAGAAACCUGAAUGAACCUAAAAGACAAGAAGACCCUGUAGAGCUUUACCUUAAAACACCAUAUAAAGAAAAUAUCCCAAAUAUAUCACUUUCACCACUAUUUUAAGAUUUGGCUGGGGCGGUCAGAGAGCACACAACCCUCUCCUUUACAAUAAGGCAUAUAAGCCUAAUACUAAUUGAUCCUAUAAUGAUUACAAAAAAUAGCUACCUCAGGGAUAACAGACUAAUCUCUUCCAAGAGCACCCAUUGAAGAAGAGGUUUGGCACCUCGAUGUUGGCUUAGAGAAUCCCAGGGGUUGUAGAAGCCCCUAAAGGUAGGUUUGUUCAACC